rnacentral:rRNA from 1 species
UACGUAGGGGGCAAGCGUUGUCCGGAAUCAUUGGGCGUAAAGAGCGCGUAGGCGGUCCGGUAAGUCGGUUGUGAAAACUGGGGGCUCAACCCUCAGAGGCCGACCGAUACUGUCGGGCUAGAGUCCGGAAGAGGCGAGUGGAAUUCCUGGUGUAGCGGUGAAAUGCGCAGAUAUCAGGAGGAACACCGGUGGUGUAGACGGCUUUCUGGACCGUAACUGACGCUGAGACACGAAAGCGUGGGUAGCAAACAGG